rnacentral:tRNA from 1 species
UAGAUUGAGGCUCGCUGGAUAGAGUGUUUAGUUGUUAACUAAGUUUUUGCGGGAUCGAGGCCCGUCGGUCUAG